GGGCGUUCCCGACUGCCUUAGGAUUGAGACAGACUCCUGUUAAUCUGAUAAAGGCUAUUCAAUUUGUCAUCUCAUCUGCUAUUGUCUGGAUACUUGGUGAGUCGAGAAAAUUAGUACAAAAAUGUCGGGAUUUUAGAAGACUUGCUAUACAAGAAUCGACUAAUGCCAAACACAGUGGAGGCUGACUUCCGUAAUUAUCUGCUGGUGCAAUUAGUUUCAACAAGGAUAACGCUGGAUCCGAGAUGCGUUACGCCAGUACGGGACUUUUACAAAUGGUUGUUGGUUCUUUCAUUACUGAAUGCAUAUAAGAAUCUACUGCAAGCUGCUCUGAAGGAGGAACCUGACUUGAGAAGUUACUUCAGGAAUCUGUUAUUCCUGUAAACCCAAGCUUGUUUGCUCUUCCCGAACAGAUCAGGAAGUUUCUUCAGAAAAUACAGCCCGGAAGAGCCCAAGGAAUUGAAUUUAACAUGGUAAUAUUUUUUGACUUAAAUUAUAAUUAAAAAUAUCUUUGAAUAUUUUCUGGAUUAUUUAAGAAAUCUUCAUAGUAUAUUAUCCAAAAUAGGAUGUUUCUAAAGAUAUAAAAUUUGUGUAA